rnacentral:sRNA from 1 species
ACCUAGCCCUGAUUGCAGUGAAAAUCCUUUUUAUUUUUUCUUUAAAAAUAAAAAGAUUGUAACGAAAAGCAGGAUUAGCU